UGGCCCUGGGAGCACUUGAAACAGCGGCACAAAGGACCCAAUGAAAAGACUUCUACAGGAUAGAUACUGUACAGUGCUAGCUGAUGUGUACAAAAGUGUUGGCAGAUGUACUGCAGAAUUCUGAGAAAAAUAAGUAAACAAUGAUGUCAAAAGAAGUCACUCAACUUAAGUUUGUGGUUGUGAAUAAAACAAAUAAUCUACACAAAAAUAGUCGUAAGAGGAAGUUUUUCUAGGACGGCAACAUUUCACCAGAAAGUGACAGAUGCCUCUUUGGUUUAUAAAUGACACACAUACUUCACAGUAACCUGUCAGGCAUUUGCCGGAAUUAGAAGAUUUUUUAAAAAUGCCACCAAAAAAAGAUAGUCUAUUGGAAAAAUCAAUCCUAAAUACAAGAAAAUGAAAUUGUUAACAGUAGCUGAGACCCCUCAACAGCAUGAGAAUAUUAAUAGUUAUCUAUAGGGACCCCUGCUCACUAUCCAUAGAUAGAUAGACAGAUAGACAGAUAGAUUCCUCUCCUCUACAAUCAAGAACAUCUUCUGACCAGCAGCAGUUGCAUUCCAACUGAUAUUAACCAUCAGAGGCUCCUCCCCCCAUCUGCAUAUGGAAUCCCCACUGCCCAAGCAGGUGCUUCUACUCGCGAACUCUCGCAAGUGCUGCCACACAUGGGAUUAGCCACAGUUAAAGUUGACUUCCUGUUCAAUUACUUAUAAAGGAUAAGUAAUUUCUUUGGAACAUUGGGUUAUGAGCCCAGUUGUGAAGCAAUAAGUUAUGAGAUAACAAAGAGUUUGUUGGCAAGAAAGCUGGACAACAUGAUUACUUUUGCAUUUUGGGGAGGCAUCCCACUGUUGUACUGCUCAAUGAAACAAACGACAGAAAAUGGUCCUUCAGAGUGAAGAAGUUGCUGAAUACUCAUGGACUAUCUUAUGUUCUGGAGGAACAAAGACCAACAGAGAAUGAAGAAGAACAAUGAGAAUGGGAUUCUGCAAACCAGCAAGCCAUGAGACAGUAUCUCUGACUGAUAAGUUAUUCUAUCAUAUAGGAGACAAAAAUAUAGCGAGAGAGAUGUGGGCAAGAUUGAAGAAGGUCUUUCCACAAAGAACUGUAAACAGUCAAAUUUCUCUUAUACUGUAAUUGUGUAAUAAAAGAGUGAGAGAGGGAGAGAGUUUGCAGGAGCACAUCUGCUCAUUUAUGGGAAUACUGAAAGAGUUGGAACUGCAGGAAAUAAAUA